UAGAACACUGUUGCUUGAUUAGCUUUUAUUAAAAAAACAACAACAUAAAAAAAGACCAUUAUAAAAGUUGUGAAAAAUUCAUUUUUAAAUUAAGGACAAAGUGUAACUUCCAAUAAAGAGGUAUUUUAUUUUAGUUUGUUUCACCAGCCAAUUUCAGUACACUAUUAUUCAAUUUGGAUGAUCAGCUCUAAUGUAACGGACCAAUAAAGUAAAUGCUGAUAUUUAAUGAGUAUCAUAGAGCACAGAACACAAUGGAAUAUAAAGUACUCAAUGUUCACAUAAUGUUGGGAAUAAAUAGUUUUG